GUAGUGCUCCUCAGUGUGGGCGGGGUCACAGAAGAAGCGAGAGCUGCGUUUGGCGGAUCGAGCCGUGAAGGGGACGGUCUUCAAAGCUGCAGAUCUAAACUCUGCAGCUUGAAUCCGUACACAGCUCCUCUCUUACUGCUGUUCAUGUAGUUCCCCAGAGCCAAGAUGAUCUGCAACAUCAUCAUCAUCAUCAGGAUGGCCUCGUCAUCGAUGUCGUUGAAGACGGUCCCGUUGAUCUGACUCGGCUUCAGGGCAACCCAGUUCAACACCGGCAUCCUGAACUUAGUCUGGAUCGGCUUCUUGAUCUUCACGGCUGCACAGCAGCAACAGAGAUUGAACAUGGAGGGAUGCAGCGGAAUGGAGGAGGAGCUAAAGGAAGGAUGGUGAUGAUGAUGGAGUAAUGUGAAGAUGUUUCAAUGUAAAGUGUAAGUAAACGUACAGAAUAACUUGAGAGGACCCUCUGUCAGCAAGGUGAGAGAAAAAACAACACAUCAGUAUCAUGAAACUCUGAUUAUAUUACACAUUUACAAUGACAACUGAGAAUCCUGGUUUCUGAUUGGCUGGGAGGUUUGGAUUCACCUUUAAUAACACAGUGACCUCUGAAGACACUACAGGUGAGUGGGGUAAAGAUUUUAACUGAUAUCACCAUAAAACUUCAUCAGUUUCCAUAGCAGAAAUCUGAACAUUGGAUAAAGUCAGGUUAAAAAUUCUUGUUUCUCAUAUUAAAGUUAAUGUCUCAACAAAGUGAAUUUUGGAUAUCUCUUUAUAUCACUCCAUAAAUCAGAAAAUACUGCUAAAAGCCAUAAAAAAUCUAUUUUUGCCAGGUUUUUAUAGAAUAAAAAGUUCUCUAAAUCAGGAUGUGAAUGCUACAUAAAUAAACCCCUCUGUAAAAACUUUUAGAACACAGACAGGAAUAAAACUGGAAAAUUUGAUGAAAGUAAGUUCUACUGAAGUUGAGAUUUUUGGCUCAGAGUUUUGAAAAAACAACCUUUCUAAACAUUUUUAGACCAAAAAAUGAGACAAUAUGGUAAAAUUUUUAAUAGAUAUCACCAUGAAACUUCCCCAGUUGAGUACUUACAGUAGUCAAUUAUUUUUUCUGAAACAAGUUUUCUGAAAUGUUAUGUUUAAAUAUGCCAGUGAUGCAUAAUCUAGUUAAAUAUGGGCUAUUUGCUUGUUAAAUUUCCAGAAUGUAAAUCUGAACGUUGGAUAAAGUCAGGUUCAAUAUUCUUGUUUCACUUUGUUGAGAUAUGAGCGUAAAAUUUUUAACAAAAGGAAUUGUGGAUAUCUCUUUUAAUCAGUCCAUGGAUCAUAAAAUACUGUACUUGCCAUGUUUUUAGGAAAGAAAGUUCUAUAAAUCAGGCUGUGAAUGAUACAUAAACAAACCCCUCUGCAAAAAUCUGUAGAAUAUACACAGGAAUAAAAUCGGAAGAUUUGGUAAAUGUAAGUGCUACUGAAGUUGAGAUUUUUGGUUUUGAAAAUGUAUAUGUAUUGAAUAACACUUUUUAGACCAAAAAUGAUAGGGUCAAAAUUUAAACUAACAGAUAUCACCAUGAAACUUUCCUGUUGUUUACUGACAUUUAGACAAUUAUUUUUUGUGAUACAUGUUUUCUGAAAUUUUAUGUUUAAAGAUUGUCAACGGCCAUAAAAAAAAUGAAAAAUUUUAUGUUUUUAGGAAUAAAAAGUUCUAUAAAUCAAGCUGUGAAUGAUACAUAAACAAACCCCUCUGUUUACACCCCCGCCCCCCGAAAACCCUCAGAAAAUAGAUAUGAAUAAAAGUGGAAAAUUUGAUGUAUAUAAUAAUAAUUCCAACAUUUUUAGAUGAGAUAAAAAAUAAUAGAGUAAACAUUUCAACUGGCAGAUAUCACCAUGAAACUUCCCCAGUUCUCAAGCAAUCAUUUUUUGUAAUACAAGUUUUACAUUUUAUGUUUAAAUAUGCAUUUUUUGUGUAGAAAAUCGGAGCUAAAAUAAACCUAAAUAUGUUUUUGGAUGUUUUCUUCCACGUAGUCUAAAAGAAGAAAUGCUAUGGAGGCACACUACCCCAAAAUCUGAAAAUCGACCAGUGCAUGACAAACAUUUUUAUCUGGAGUGUCUCGCUCGUUAGUUCAGAUUCACCAAAGUCACACAAUAACACAAAUGAACUAAGUGAUGAAGGCAGCGGUAGACCGACAGCUCCCGUGUUUUGUCAGUGAAGUCUGGCUUUAAAGGGAGCUGAGAUUAUCUUUCAUUUUCCAUUCAGUGUUUUAUCGGAAAGCGGCGUCUGUGAAGUUCUGAGCGCUCAUCUUGAUAAAUCAGACUUGGAUCAAACUGCAGGAGUUGUGUAUGAAUGUUCCCCCUUUUUUGGAUUCUUCAUUCACCAUGGAGGUGUGAGAAAUAAACUUCGCAUAAAUUCAACAUAACGUGGUGAGUAACUGAUAUACAAAUACAUUUAGGGAGAUGAAGUAUUCCGUUAUGUCACAUUUUAAACGCUGGACUUCAAAUGGAACAUUGAAUAUUUUCCUCACCGCCUGUGAACACAUCAU